UCCCUAGGUUGUUCCCAUGGCUACAACUCCCACUGCGCAGCCGCACUGCUGCGGCUGGGGGCCCUCGCUGGGCUCCCGUGGCGCUAUUGCCUCCCUUUGCACCUUCCGGUCUGCGUGUUGUGAUGGCUCCCUCUGAUGGCAGUCGCUGGAUGCUUCAUCCACGUGUAGUGGUUUUCUUUCCUCUGCACACCUCUCAGUACAUACUCCAGCUGGGACAAUCUUUUCAGAUGAACACCCUGUUUUUAUCCCAGUCUGAUAAAUUUUUCUUGAAAAGAGGUCAAACAGGAAAGCAAACCUUCCUCUGCCUGUCUCAGUGCAAUCAUGAAGAUCACGCAAGAUAGUCCCUGUUGGAGUGUGUGUGCUUCAGCAGUGCAGAGCAUUCAAAGGUUUGAGGUGAAGGCCAAAAUAGAAAUUGCCAUCAAGCUCCAGAUGAUCCUCAGUGAGGGAUACCGCUCUCUCAGUAUUCAAGAGUCACCCUUCCACAGAGAAGCCCUAGACUGCCCAUCAGUGGAAUAUGAGAGAGGUAAAAUCCUGCCCCUGUCUCCUUCUGACCUGGCUGGAUACCAUUUUCACCAACAGAUUCACCCACACAGUCACCCUGCCUUGACAGCUAGCAAGAGGCCAAGACACACAGAACAACGACUACCACCCCUCUGACAGCAGGAAGCAGUUACAGAAGACUGACCUUUGUCCAUUUUCCCAAAGAAUUGGGUCUUGGACUCUUGGGGGCAGGAAUGUUAGAGUAGGUAGUUAGGCAGAUGUGAGGAAGGCAGGGGAGGACCCCCCACCCCAGGAAUGUCAGGCGACCAUCACGUGAUGUCAGGUGGUUUUUAAACUGUCUCUCUGAAAUGAUAAUUGGUUGCAGCUGGCUCCAGGGUAAGACAGUCUCCCAGUAGACAGAAAACACCUAGAGCUGGUGAUCAGCAACUUCCCAAUAAGAUCUCAGAAGCUGGGCAAGUGGGCUGAAGCAUGUGAACUAAGAAGCAAAAUGACUGAUGUAUGAUGUUCCCCUGGGGGUGUUUGCCCCCAGAGAGUAUGUGCCCAAUCUUAGUAAAUGCACUGUACAUGUGGUCACCCUCCCAAAUGCUGACCGACAUUGCACAUGCAGUAGUUGAGCAACAGACUGCCCCAAGGGAAGAUUCAAUGGAGGAGAAAAGAAAACCCCAGAGCCAUGUCAAUGUAUAAAACCCCAAGUCAAAGGCUGAACUAGACACUUGGACCUCUUAAGUUGCCUGCUUGGCCCUCUUCCAAGUGUACUUUGCUUCCUUUUGCUCCUGCUCUAAAACAUUUUAGUAAACUCUCACUCCUGCCCUGAAACUUGCCUUGGUCUCUCCCUCUGACUUAAUCCUACUUGUGCCCCUCAGCCAAAUUCUUUCCUCCAAGGAGGCAAGUAUCAAGUUUGCUGAAGACCCGUACAGAUUCACCACUGGUAACAAUACCAUGAUGGGGCAUUUGUUCAUUAUCCUGAAAGUAAGGGGAGUCGUGAAAGAAUUGUAAGCCAACAAAGGACAAGAUUAUAUGUAGAUUUUAGCAACAUGCUGGUGGCUGCAUGAGGAGCAAGAAUUAAAUGGGAGCCAGAACAGAGGCAAAGAGGCUUGUGGGAAACUGCAGUGAACCAAGCAAAGAUGAGGCAAUGAGCUCCUGGUCUUCAGGAGCUGACAGUGAGAUGGCAAGGAGGUCAUAGUAGAGGAAGGUGACAUAGGUAACUGUAAUGAGACCAGGCCUAUUCUAGUAAUCUUGUGUGGGUAAGGUGGACAUGGGUAGUUUGGGCAAAAAUACGGUAAGUUCAGUGUUAAUAGUGUGAGGUACCUGUGGAAGAUCUGGGUAAUAUUCAGAAGGAAGUUCAUUUACUCAUUGUUUAACACAUUAUUGAAUAUCUGGGAUGUGCUAAGGACCACUCUGUGGUAGUAGAAUCAAUCACAAAAAGGUAAAAAUCCCUGCCUUUAUAGAGCUUAUAUUCCAUUUGGA
rnacentral:lncRNA from 1 species